AGAUGGUUGAUUUUCAUCUAAGGUUUUGAGCAAGAAUAGUAACUAUCGUGCUAAGAGCACUAGGAGGCAACACUUAAUGGAACAAGGUACAGUAAAAUGGUUUAACGCAGAAAAAGGUUUUGGAUUUAUCGAACGUGAAGCGGGAGAAGAUGUAUUCGUACAUUUUUCAGCAAUCCAAAGCGAUGGCUUCAAAUCUUUAGAUGAAGGUCAAAGAGUUUCUUUUGACAUCGAACAAGGCGCUCGCGGAGCUCAAGCAUCUAACGUACAAAAAGCCUAAUCAAUAUACUGAAGAGAUCCUGAAUAUCAGGGUCUCUUUU
rnacentral:other from 1 species